CCUCCACCGCCCCAUUACUCCACCCACAUGUUGUGUGCCCGAAUUCAUCCUAGUGGAGGCAAGAUCCAUCAACAGGACUAACCCUGGUUACAACUAUUGCCAUCCAAGAGAUAGAUGAUGGUGUCAGUCCUCAUCACUCCCCGUGAAGACUAUCACCUUCUUCUCUUUCUCCGGGGGGUUGUGUAUGUGACAAGAGAGGCAGCUACAUCUGAAAGCUGUUAGCACUUAGCACUACAUGCUCUGCAAGGUGGUAUAUCCUUCAAGUAUUUAGAACCUGACUCAACUUAUGAAUGGAAACCUGACAAGGCUUAGGUGAGGUUCAAAUGAUUAAGUGCAGAAAUUUGAAAAAAAAAGGUGAAUGAUAGAGAGACAGAUUUGAGCUAUUGGGACCACAUACCUUGUCUACGAAAGGUACCCUUUCGUAAGGGGAGUCAGGUUCAAAAUACUUGAAGACCAACUCCCCCUUGCUUUCAACUCCGACCUUGGACAUGUUUGGUGGUGUCUGAUAUCCAUGACUCCAAUCUAUUGCACCAUGCUGGUUGUACGCAUUGAACCUUGUAUCAUAUACCAUGCUGCAAUCAUCAUGCCAAUCGUGAAUUUCAGAAACAAUCAUUUCCAUGGCUGAAAGAUACGGCACAAAGUAUUGCUCUAUUGUAUCACCCGGAGCAAUACGCACUGAAGUACCAACACCACAGGCGCUCCAUUUAUAGAACGAAUUCCAAAGAUCUCCAAGGGAAGGCAGUGCGGGUUCAAACAUAUAUGGAGCUGCAUAAUCAAAUCGAGAAGAGGGACAAAAUGAUGAUUACUUGCUGUCACCUAGGUUCGUAUUGAACAAAUGCAUAUCUUGUGAAUCAAUUAGCACAUAUCUUGUAUCAAGGGGAUGCACCAUAUAUAAAGUGAAGAUGCAACAGUAAGAACGAAAUGGACAGUGAUGUGCAUGUCACGUGAGGUCCUUCUGUUUGGAUCUAUUGAUAGUGCAGUCUAACCAAAUUUUACUGUUGAUAUGGGGACAAAGGGGGUUAAUUCUAGAUGAAAAAAUUCAAUUCUUUAAAUGCGUAAAAAGAAUUUUCGCAGAUUGACUUUAAGGUAAAACCAAAAAACUCGACCGAAUGAGUAUGACAGCCCCACCAUAAGAUAAAACCUUCAUCAUAACCCUCCUGAUUCAAAUGAUUGCGCAAGUAACGGUCGGAUGACGUCCUCAUAAAGGUGCAAUGGAUACUACCCGGAACUUAUGUUUCGCGCCUAAAGCAUUUUGAAUCUGAACUUUAUAUACAGAUCGGAGGCACCAACAAACCCACAAGUUAAUAUACAUAAAAGCAAGAUGGAGUGUGAACAGAGCAUGAUCUUGAAGUGGGAAGCAUGCACCCCUUGCAAAUCGAUAAGCUCACAUAUUUAGUUUUAUCCUCAUAGCCCUUGCAAAUCAGAUGCAAGAUCAAACAAAAGAGGCAAUAUAUCCAGAUCAAAGAUAGUAGAGAGAAAGGGAGUAGAAAAUUUGACAAAAAAAAUCAUGAGUUCCUGACAGAAGGAGGGGAAUCCAACAACAAAAAUAAAAGUUAGCUCAAGAUAUGCUUACCUGUGGAAGAUAGUAGGGUGCCAUAAGAACUCUAUGUGCCUUAACAAUUGGAGUCACACUGUCAAGAAAGCACCUCAGAUUGGAAUGUGUCCCCACUAUAUCAUCGAAAGUAGCACUAGCUUCCUCUUGAAUGCUACCACUAGAACUCGCCAUCUCUCCACUCAACCCCAAAAUCCUCUGCGCUAAAGUACACCUUGGUCCUACUUAUGUAUCUCAGGCCUUGAGAGAGCACUCAGACAAAUCAGCCAAAGCCUAUGUCGGGAGCGCUUAGCUACGUGGAAUGGAGGUGUGUGCUCAGGUUUUUGCAGUGGAGGAGGAGCCUAGGCCUAGGCAUAUUUGCAUAUCUGCCAUCAAUGCUUUCUAAACAAUUAUUCUAUCUCCAGCCUCCACCCCUCCAAGGAUAUGCUAGCUCUUAAUUACCUGCCAACUUGAUAGCCUUUGCCUAUUAAUUUUUCUUGGUUUGUCCAUGUUAGUUUGGGAUACUGCUGAAGUGGCCUUUUUAGACUUUUCUUCCAAAAUUAGUUUUGGCUUUUCGUCAUUAUGCUGCGAGGAAGCGUGAUGACCAAUGUGACCUUACAGACAUGAUGACCUCCAUUUUGGAAGAAGAAUAAAUAUAUCCACUUGGAGAGAGAGAGAGAGAGAG